rnacentral:rRNA from 1 species
UACGAAGGGUGCAAACGUUGCUCGGAAUUAUUGGGCGUAAAGCACACGUAGGCGGCCUUGUAAGUCGGAUGUGAAAUCCCUCGGCUUAACCGAGGACGUGCAUCCGAAACUGUGAGGCUCGAGUAUGGAAGAGGGUCGCAGAAUUCCCGGUGUAGAGGUGAAAUUCGUAGAUAUCGGGAGGAAUACCAGUGGCGAAGGCGGCGACCUGGGCCAAUACUGACGCUGAGGUGCGAAAGCGUGGGGAGCAAACAGG